CUCGAGCCAUGUCCACACGGAGACGGCUCCUUCGACACCGGAAGUAGUAAAACGUCACUUCCGGUGUCAAAGUAGCUUGCCCUGUCUGGGCAUGGCUCCUUCGACACCGGUAGUUGAGGGUGACAUCACUUCUGGUGUCGCAGCCUCGUGUGUCUGUCACCGCGGUCACUACCCUUCCCGAGUCUGCGACUGGUCAAGUUUUGGGUUCUUGCCAAGUUCAUGGACCAGCAGGUGCAGAACAUCGUGCAGAAGGUGGCCAGGGCCAGGAUUCAGCAGCAGUACUAGGGGACAACAAUGAAGGCUCUUAUUUGGGGAGCACAGCUCCUGUAAAGGCAUGGGAGCAAGCAGCCGGUGCCACUGGCAAUGCUUCGGGUGGGAAAGCUAGUGCAGAGAAGUGCCUAAAAGUCACUUCCUCGGGGAGCACAGCUUCUGUAGAGGUUGGGGUCUCAAACGUGGAUUCCAGCGCUAUGAAGAUGCAACUGGCUGGCGUCGGACCGGAUGCAGCAUCUGCCAGCCAGGCGAGACCAAGCACCACGAGAGAAGAACUAUACAGCAGUCUAUCUGCAAGACUCUGAGCAAGAGCAUUGUGCGAUGGUGGUAUGCAACCACCAUAGUUCCCAAAUUUGUAAAUUUGGGAACUAUGGCCUAAAUUUGUACUUUCGACUAUAUUAAACCCAGUGUUUUUUUAAUUG